CCUACGGGAGGCAGCAGUGGGGAAUCUUGCGCAAUGGGCGAAAGCCUGACGCAGCCAUGCCGCGUGAAUGAUGAAGGUCUUAGGAUUGUAAAAUUCUUUCACCGGGGACGAUAAUGACGGUACCCGGAGAAGAAGCCCCGGCUAACUUCGUGCCAGCAGCCGCGGUAAUACGAAGGGGGCUAGCGUUGCUCGGAAUUACUGGGCGUAAAGGGAGCGUAGGCGGAUAGUUUAGUCAGAGGUGAAAGCCCAGGGCUCAACCUUGGAAUUGCCUUUGAUACUGGCUAUCUUGAGUAUGGGAGAGGUAUGCGGAACUCCGAGUGUAGAGGUGAAAUUCGUAGAUAUUCGGAAGAACACCAGUGGCGAAGGCGGCAUACUGGCCCAUUACUGACGCUGAGGCUCGAAAGCGUGGGGAGCAAACAGGAUUAGAUACCCUGGUAGUCCACGCUGUAAACGAUGAGUGCUAGUUGUCGGCAUGCAUGCAUGUCGGUGACGCAGCUACGCAUAAGACACUCCGCCGUCGGGAGGUACGGUCGCGAAGAAGUUAAAACUACGAAAGGAAAGUUAGACGGCGUGAGACGUGCCGACGGACGACGACGAGGGAGGAGG
rnacentral:rRNA from 1 species